GUUGAAGCACCGAUUCCCGUACGAUCAAUGAAGUUAAGCCACCUCGAACCUGUUCAAUACCUAGAUGGGUAACCACUUCGGAAUGCCAGGUGCUGCAAG